UGGGGAAUAUUGCACAAUGGGCGAAAGCCUGAUGCAGCAACGCCGCGUGAGUGAUGAAGGUCUUCGGAUUGUAAAGCUCUGUCUUUUGGGACGAUAAUGACGGUACCAAAGGAGGAAGCCACGGCUAACUACGUGCCAGCAGCCGCGGUAAUACGUAGGUGGCGAGCGUUGUCCGGAUUUACUGGGCGUAAAGGGUGCGUAGGCGGAUGUUUAAGUGAGAUGUGAAAUACCCGGGCUUAACUUGGGUGCUGCAUUUCAAACUGGAUAUCUAGAGUGCAGGAGAGGAGAAUGGAAUUCCUAGUGUAGCGGUGAAAUGCGUAGAGAUUAGGAAGAACACCAGUGGCGAAGGCGAUUCUCUGGACUGUAACUGACGCUGAGGCACGAAAGCGUGGGUAGCAAACAGGAUUAGAUACCCUGGUAGUCCACGCCGUAAACGAUGAGUACUAGGUGUAGGAGGUAUCGACCCCUUCUGUGCCGCAGUAAACACAUUAAGUACUCCGCCUGGGAAGUACGA
rnacentral:rRNA from 1 species